AGCAGCCGCGGUAAUCCCAGCUCCAAUAGCGUAUAUUAAAGUUGUUGCAGUUAAAAAGCUCGUAGUUGAAUUUCGGGACCAAUUUGUUGGUCGUGCUUCGGUACGUACUGGUAUUAUUGGUUUCUCCCUUCUGAAGAACCUUGAUGUCAUUAAUUUGGUGUCUUGGGGAAUCAGGACUGUUACUUUGAAAAAAUUAGAGUGUUUAAAGCAGGCAUACGCUUGAAUACAUUAGCAUGGAAUAAUGAAAUAGGACGUUUGAUUCUAUUUUGUUGGUUUCUAGGAUCGACGUAAUGAUUAAUAGGGAUAGUUGGGGGCAUUAGUAUUCAAUUGUCAGAGGUGAAAUUCUUGGAUUUAUUGAAGACUAACUACUGCGAAAGCAUUUGCCAAGGAUGUUUUCAUUAAUCAAGAACGAAAGUUAGGGGAUCGAAGACGAUCAGAUACCGUCGUAGUCUUAACCAUAAACUAUGCCGACUAGGGAUCGGAUGAUGUUAAUUUUUAAUGACUCAUUCGGCGCCUUACG
rnacentral:rRNA from 1 species